CGGCAAGACGGAAAGACCCCGUGAACCUUUACUAUAGCUUGACACUGAACAUUGAGCCUUGAUGUGUAGGAUAGGUGGGAGGCUUUGAAGUGUGGACGCCAGUCUGCAUGGAGCCGACCUUGAAAUACCACCCUUUAAUGUUUGAUGUUCUAACGUUGACCCGUAAUCCGGGGUGCGGACAGUGUCUGGUGGGUAGUUUGACUGGGGCGGUCUCCUCCUAAAGAGUAACGGAGGAGCACGAAGGUUGGCUAAUCCUGGUCGGACAUCAGGAGGUUAGUGCAAUGGCAUAAGCCAGCUUGACUGCGAGCGUGACGGCGCGAGCAGGUGCGAAAGCAGGUCAUAGUGAUCCGGUGGUUCUGAAUGGAAGGGCCAUCGCUCAACGGAUAAAAGGUACUCCGGGGAUAACAGGCUGAUACCGCCCAAGAGUUCAUAUCGACGGCGGUGUUUGGCACCUCGAUGUCGGCUCAUCACAUCCUGGGGCUGAAGUAGGUCCCAAGGGUAUGGCUGUUCGCCAUUUAAAGUGGUACGCGAGCUGGGUUUAGAACGUCGUGAGACAGUUCGGUCCCUAUCUGCCGUGGGCGCUGGAGAACUGAGGGGGGCUGCUCCUAGUACGAGAGGACCGGAGUGGACGCAUCACUGGUGUUCGGGUUGUCAUGCCAAUGGCACUGCCCGGUAGCUAAAUGCGGAAGAGAUAAGUGCUGAAAGCAUCUAAGCACGAAACUUGCCCCGAGAUGAGUUCUCCCUGACUCCUUGAGAGUCCUGAAGGAACGUUGAAGACGACGACGUUGAUAGGCCGGGUGUGUAA
rnacentral:rRNA from 1 species